UAACAAAAGUGGAUUCAAACGACGUGCUUCACGAAGCGCUACAAAGUUUGUAUCAUAUAGGAAGCAUGGCUAACAGCUUAGUUCAAACGAUUACAGCAAAUGAGAAUAAAAAGCAAUUUAUCAUGGCUUGUCUUGUUUCAGAACAAGAACUUGUCUUAAAAGAGUUCGCUGUUAUGGAAAAUUUCAAACAGUACAUACAUGUGUUGGCUACUCAAUCAGUCGAUCAGAUACCAAUAUCUGAUGGUUAUUUUAUGAAACUUCCUAAAUCAAUUUAUUUGCGGAACAAUUGUAACCAUGGGGAAGCCAGACUUUUAGAUCCAGACGGCGAAAUGCGCCGAAAGAUCACCAGCAAUACACAGGCAGUUGUUGAUGAGUGCAAUACUUUUUUACAGGACAUGGAGUUAUCCUUUCGGGAACAGUUUGGUGAUUCUACGAGACCAUACCUGCUAAUGUACAGCCACUAUGUGCCUUGUACUAUAGCCAAACACUUUUGUGCCGGGCUACUUAAACAGUUUGUCAGAAAAACGGGUCAUAAUGUAUUGGUGGGAUACACGGAUGUGUAUUGCAAAAGCAAUUGUGAAAAAGCAUUAAAAACUCUUCGCGAAUCUGGAAUUAAGGUUAGACAUAUACCCCGGGAACAGUGGACUACUCAAAUGUGUUGCUUGUUCAAAUACAUGAUAACGCUUCAACAAUCAAAACAAAGAAUGGAGGAGGAGAAUGGCAUUCUAUCCGUUCUAUCUAGUCAUUUAUUGAGUGCAAAACAAUCCAUGGCAAAAUGUAUAGGGAUAUGUUGAUCAUUAAAUGAUUAUAAAUACAUUUUCUGUAUUGUGAAUGUUUUUUUCGAAUGAUUUGUCAAAGCAAAACACGCAUUGCACUGAUUGUGUAAGUUUGGAAAAGUGGAUUGUUUCUUAAACAUCAUAAGACGGAUACGAAAGAUUUACGAGAGUUACAUAACAGAAAUCGACAGGCAAGAUUACAUGCGACAAUCGGGUAAAUGAGGAAAGAGACGAUGUUCAAAAUGAAUGAUCAUUCAUGGCCCCCCCCCCCCCCCACCUCCGUCCCACAGUGUAUUGGAAAAGUAAUUGUGCACGAAAUAGUGCGCGUGCAACAAACGACACAAGCUGAACGGACAAUCGACAGCAGCAUAUAAUAUAGAGGCGAUUGGAAUGGUCGGGAAUAUAACAGCUUGCCAUGAAAGGUCCGUUAAGUGUGUCCGAGUACUUCCGAUUGUAUCAAGUAAAUUCUGGCGAGGAUGUAUCGGCAGAAAUCGACAGUGGUACGGCGACAUUUGCAGUCGGACUGGCACAUUAUGUUUGCAAUUUUUCUAUCAAUAUUGUUUCCUGUGUAAUUGCUCGCAUGUAUAGAAUGAGUUAUACUGUUAAAUAUGAUUGAUGGUUGUGAUUGAAUUCAUUUUCGUACAUUAAGUAUCACACAUCAUAUUAUCUUGUAAGUCAAAGGCCGCUUUCACAAGAUUUUGUUAAGGCACAAAAUUGUCCGCGAAUAGCAUGUUUACCAUAAGUACUUGCGCACUAUUCCGGUAUGUGAUAUGAUUUUUUUAACAUAUUGAUACAUUAUAAACGUCGUUUUGCCGUUACGUCAUUUAGUGGUUAUGAUGUCUGUUCAACAGUUGGUCUGCCCAAUAAUAGUUUAAACAGCAAAAACCUAAGACUGCUUUCUUGUUCAUAGAGUAGUUAUAUUUCACGGAAACAGUGUGUUUCAAAUUACAAACUACAAUUGAACUUAUAUUCACCUUUCUCAUAUUGUAGUAUAUUAUUCAUACCCUUCAACUCAAAUUAAAACAUUCACUUGUAUUUGAUGCAAAGACAAUAAAAGCUUGAUUUGUAUGUGUUCAUAUCAUAGUCGUUUUUUAAUGAUGUAUGAGUAUGCAGUAUUAUUGGUUGUUUUACGUAUACAUGUAUCAUUGUUGUCAUCGUUGGUUGCAAGUGACAAUGUCUGUGUAAAAUGAUGUUACGUGUUUAAUAGAAGUGAUAUUAUGUCAGUUUUACAAAUAAAUGUGUGCACACUGUGCUACAAAUAAAUAUAAAUUGGUAAAUGCCGAAUGACAGUACCAUGUAUAUCUACUGAUAAUAAUUAAUUGCGUUAAUAUAUUUUUCACUUGGACAAAUGCACAGUCGGGUCGGACUCAAAGGUCUUACGUCUCUUUCUUGCAAUACUAAUGUAUGAAUUGUGUUAAACUGAUGAUUCAUUUAUGAUAAAUAAUCUAAUUUAUGGCU